UACGAAGGUGUCGAACGUUGUCCGGAAUUACUGGGCGUAAAGGGUGCGUAGGCGGCUAGGUAAGUCAGAUGUGAAAGCUCUGGGCUCAACCCAGGAAUUGCAUUUGAAACUGCUUAGCUUGAGUUCGGUAGAGGAGGGCGGAAUUCCUGGUGUAGCGGUGAAAUGCGUAGAUAUCAGGAGGAACACCUGUGGCGAAGGCGGCUCUCUGGUCCGAAACUGACGCUGAGGCACGAAAGCUAGGGGAGCAAACAGG
rnacentral:rRNA from 1 species